rfam:Canis lupus familiaris chromosome 20, whole genome shotgun sequence.
GCCUGGCUGGCUCAGUUGGUGGAGUGUGUGGCUCUUGAUCUCAGGGUUGUAGGUUCAAGCCCCACAUUGGGUA